rnacentral:misc_RNA from 1 species
GAAAACCAGCCCCACCCUCCUUGUUGCUUAUAAUUUCUAUUUAGAAGCAUUAGCUUAUCUCUUGCCAAAUACCUCGCAGCCUUGCUUGUUUUGCAAAUGUCUCCAAGCAAAGACGUAUCUCUGGAGGUUUUUCCUUACCUUCGAGUGUACAAGGAUGGAACCAUCGAGAGAUAUGCAGGAACAGAAGUUACACCUGCUGGCUUUGAUUCUCAAACUGGUGUUUUGUCCAAAGAUAUCUUUCUCACCACUCCACAAACCACUCUCUCAGCCAGGAUCUACCGUCCCCAGUUCAUUAAUAACAAUCAAAAGCUUCCCCUUCUAGUCUACUAUCACGGUGGGGCCUUUUGCAUAGCAUCACCGGCUGAACCGAAGUACCAAAAUUGCCUCAAUCAGCUAGUUUCCAAGGCUAAAAUCAUUGUUGUGUCGGUGGAUUACAGGUUAGCCCCAGAACACCCGCUCCCUGCUGCCUAUGAAGACUCAUGGGCUUCUCUUCAGUGGCUGGUUGCCCACGUAAAUGGGGGCAUCGAAGAAUGGCUAGAGGAUUAUGCAGACUUUGAGCGAGUGUUUUUGGCAGGAGAUAGUGCUGGAGCCGAUAUUGCACACCAAUUAGCCUUGCGAAUGAAGGACUUUCCAAAUAUGAAGAGGCUUCAAGGCAUAGCUAUGAUCCAUCCUUAUUUCUGGGGAAAAGAACCAAUUGGAGAAGAGGCAAAUGAAAGUUUGAAAAAAUCAAUGGUAGAUAAUUGGUGGAUGUUCGUUUGCCCAUCUAAUAAAGGGUGUGAUGAUCCAUAUAUAAACCCAUUUGUGAAAGGAGCUCCAAGUCUCAAAGGGUUGGCUAGUGAAAGUGUGCUAGUUUUCGUAGCAGAGAAAGACAUAUUAUGUGAAAGAGGAAAGCUUUAUUAUGAAAAACUUGUGAAAAGUGGGUGGAAAGGAAAAGCAGAGAUUGUGGAGACAAAAGGAGAAGAUCAUGUUUUUCACAUCUUUAACCCUGAUUGUGAAAAUGCUCAUCUCUUGAUCAAGCGCUGGGCUGCUUUCAUCAACGGUGCAUAAGUUCUUGUUAAUUAGAUCCAAAGUAAAUUGGGUUGGCUGCUGCUUUUGUGUCAAUUUAUAUCUCACCUUUACAGCUAGAUUUCCAAUGCUCUUGUAUCUAAAUUAUACUCUUUUACUUGUUUCGAUUGAGAUUGUGUUGAUGUGUGACACUCCACUUAAUGAACAAUGAACAAAUAAUAACAGUCAC